AGCGAACGCUGGCGGCAGGCCUAACACAUGCCAGUCGAACGGAUCCUUCGGGAUUAGUGGCGGACGGGUGAGUAACACGUGGGAACGUGCCCUUUGGUUCGGAACAACUCAGGGAAACUUGAGCUAAUACCGGAUGUGCCCUUCGGGGGAAAGAUUUAUCGCCAUUGGAGCGGCCCGCGUCUGAUUAGCUAGUUGGUGAGGUAACGGCCCACCAAGGCGACGAUCAGUAGCUGGUCUGAGAGGAUGAUCAGCCACACUGGGACUGAGACACGGCCCAGACUCCUACGGGAGGCAGCAGUGGGGAAUCUUGCGCAAUGGGCGAAAGCCUGACGCAGCCAUGCCGCGUGAAUGAUGAAGGCCUUAGGAUUGUAAAAUUCUUUCAGCGGGGACGAUAAUGACGGUACCCGCAGAAGAAGCUCCGGCUAACUUCGUG
rnacentral:rRNA from 1 species